AUGUUGCUAAAAUCACGAAGUCCUCCUACGAAUUUGGCGUUUGCACGACCAGGUCCACUGAGUUCGAAAAGCCAAUCCAAUCGAAGCCACGGUUGGUUCAGACGCUGUUGGAAAAUGUUCUCAAAACUGUUUUGAUGAACGCCGUCCUUCGGAGUAAGCAACAGUUCCAGGGAAGCCUUGAUAGGCACAGACGGAUCACGCACCGAAAAGUCAAAGCGACGGAGCAAAUUUGCUAAAACUAUUUUUAGCUCGAGCAUGGCGAACUUCAGACCUAUCGCUAAAUGGAAUAAAGGCGUAAGGAUGGCGACCAACACUGUUCUCCGGAAGGAAGCGUUCGGGAUUGAAAACUUCGGGAUUCGGAUAAACUUGAGGAUUGUGGUGCAAGCUGUGUAUCAUUAUCGCAACGGUAACUCCCUUUGGCAAAACAUAUCCACCUGUAAGCAUUGCAAUUUGAUUGUGGUUAAUUAUUUUGAAUUCUUUGAUUGUUGUGGUUUUAAUUGCCAAUUUCAACGUCUUCUGGAAGGCAGCGUAAAACAAACGGGAUGCUGGGGUAGAGCCUCAUUGUUUCUUUGAUGCAACAUUCCAGGUACUUUAGUUCAGUCAAAUCCUGCGACGUACAUGGCCGAUCCGAUUCGCCAAAAACGUGGUCCACCUCGUCAUGUAGCAGUUGCUGAUUGAUAGUUGCAUUCAUCGGAUUCUUCGCGAUCAUGCAAAGGAACCAUGUAAAAGCCAAUGCCGUCGUUUGACUCUUCGUUCAGAAAAAAUGAAAUUCAGUAAUCAUCCAAUGCUAAGGUAGAAAAAAGUUGCUUACAGCGCCUAAAAAUGCAUUGACUUCAUCUCUGAUAUCCGUUUCAUUAAAAUGUUCUUUUCCCAAUUCCGUCAAGACUAGGUCGAGAAAGGGCAAUUUUUUCUCUUCAAGACAUAGUCAAAUUUAGUGCUCAUAAAAUUUAGGGAAAAUAAACUCUUUACUUGCUUCGCCAACAUCGAUUGCUCCAACAUCACCCUCAGGAGCAGCAUCGUUUGUUUGGGUCAUUUUACAAGAUUUUGUUGUUGAAUUCCAUUUUAUUUGAGCCGCGUCUCGUUCUAGUGCUUCACGACGUGCUUUAAUUAUCUUGAAAAGAAACGAAAUUUUUCGUUAAGUAAGUCGGGAUGUACCAUGAACCUUUGUGUUACCAUGUUGCAGAACUGAUGGAGCCCUUCAACACACCGGGCAUUUUCACGGCCUGGAGCUGUUAGUUUAAAAAACCAGUUGAUCCUAAGCCACGGUUUGACGAUGCGUUGUUGGAAAACCCGUUCGAAACUAAAGAAAUCAAAUCUCAUUUUUCCAUUUUCGUUUUUCUUCAGUAAACAUCAAACAACGUCUGCAAAUUUUAGCCACUUGCCCCUCAAGGUUGUUAAGAAAGAGUGCCUUUUCUUCUUUUUUUAGUGCUUCUCGUCCCAUAAAAGUAUCUAAAUUUGAUAAGUUUUAGUAGCCUUGUAAUAGUACGGCACUUCAAUAGUUACCGCAAAUAAUAUCUAAGGUGCUCCUUGACAUAAUGGGGAAGACGUCAAUUUCAUCACCCUUGUUGUUUUCUAUGGCCUCUUCAAAUUCCUCCACACAGAUUAUGCUCUUGCUAUUGAUGGCGUCCACAAAAGUGUUGAGGAUUUGAAAAUGAAAAGCUGGAUUAAGUAGACGCCGAUUUUUCUUCCAUCGCUCAUCUGUGAGAAAAAACAAGGAAUGAUAACAAAACACAGCGGGACGUGGCGAAACUUUAAAUUCACCUAUUGCCACAGGGAUUCCUUUGCCAAUAAACGGAGUGAAGAUGUCGUACUCGAUCGGUUUCUUAAUGAAUUUAUGGUUUCCCAUAAUCGUCUAAAUGGAAAGAAAAAUUUAAAUCCAGUGCAUAACUAUCUCCGACGGCUGUUCAACGAAAUGAACUUACAUCCAACAAUUCGGGUGAUGUAAUGAGGAUAACUGGACGAAUAGUGAACCAAAUGCGCAUUCACCGUCGUUUGGAACGUUCAAAUCCAGAACAUUGCCAAGAAAUGGAAGACCAUCUGGUCCUGGAAUGGCGUUGAUAAGUCGAACAAAACGUGAUUGGCGCCAGAUCCAAUAAUAAACGGCAAGUAAUCCG